rnacentral:tRNA from 1 species
GGGGACAUAGCUCAGUGGUAGAGCGCUUGCUUUGCAUGCUAGAGGUCUGGGGUUCAAACCCCCAUGUCUCCA